GGUCGUGUGGCGCAAUGGUAAUGCGUCUGACUACAAUUGGGUAUUUAUCAGGAAUUUGCCGGUUCGACCCCUGCCGCGGUCA